rnacentral:lncRNA from 1 species
AUGGAGGGCGGUGGAGUGAGGCUGAAAAUGGGGGGGACCGGCUGUGUGUGUGUCAGUGUGUGUGUAACAACGGGCGGCUGCGGCGCCGAGGCUGCAAGGUGGUGUUUCUGUGUGUGUGUGUGCGUGUAUAUGCGUGUGUGUGUGUGUGUGCGCGGCUCCGUGCCCGCGAUGCACAAAGGGGUGGAGAGAGGUGCCGCCGGGCUCUGCCCGCGCCCUCCCCCGCCGCCCCCCCGGUUCGUGCCCGGGGUGCCGUCGGGCGUCCGCCGAGCCGGGCGAUGCUGCCCAGCCCGGGGCGGGGACGUGGAAAAGGGGGGGACACGGGAAGUGGGGGGGGACCGUGCCGCCCCCGGGGAAGCCGGGGGCAUGGGCUGGCGGUGUGACAGCCGCCGGCUCGCAGCUGAGGCAGCGCUCCUCCUGCCUCCCUUCCCUCCUGACCUUCCCCCGCGUAUCGCGGCUCUGCUUGGCGGGCGGCGGGCAGCAAUUAGCAUUAUUAUCGCUAUUACCGUUUUCAUCCGAGGAGCCGGCGUAAGGUGCGGGCGAACACCCGAGUCGUUGCUCCGAAGCCGAGAGUUGCUUCCCGCUCCCCCGCUCCCCUACCCCAAGCCCCCGUCUCGGCCGCCCCCAGCGGGCCGGGGAGCCCCCGGGGGCCGCCCCCGCCGUGCUGCCCUGCGGCACCGCCAGCCUCCUGCCCCGGCCUCCAUCCCGGUGUAUGCCGGCGGCGGCGGCACGGCGGCGGGGGGAGCGGGUGGCGGGACUGGGGCUGCUCCCGGUGCGACCCCCGGCCCCGGUCCCCGCACGGCGGCGCGGCCCCGGGCGGCGCGGGGCUUCCCUGAGCCCGGGGAAACCCCGGCUGCUGCCGCUGCCGGUGCGGCGGGGGGAUGCUGCAAUCCCCGGCAGCCUCCCCAAGCCGCCGUGCGCUGCGGUUCCUCACCUCUCCCCGGGAUGAACCCGCCCGCGGUUUUAAGCAGGCUGAGGUCGUCUCGCUUGCUCGGCUGUCAAGCCCGCGUUGCACAAUUUAUAGCUGCUUCUUGUUGA